CCAUCCGCAGCUCUGCUUUCUGCAUCCUAUCUUAUGUGCCAGUGUGCUGCCUGUCUCCUGCCCAGUUUGCCACGUUCCACAAAAUGGCUUCCUUUGCCCCUUAUAACACAUGUGCUGCAGGUUGGCUACCUCUGGCAUAGACUGAGCAAUUUGCACUCAGCUUGCAGUAAAUAGUGUAAAGUUGCCCCCUCCUCCUGAGGCAAUGUACCCAGGCUUCCAUGCUCCAUAGGGGAAGUGCACACAGUGCUUUGGACUUCACUAUACUCCCAACUAAGUGGCUGGGCCUUUACCUGUAGGCAAGCAGUGUAGUGAGCAGAAUUCUGCAUGGCUCUUGCACAGACCAUGCGACAGGGUAAGGUAAGCAUCUCUCUUUCCUUUCAUUGCACUCAUGUGUGAGGGCUGACAGAAAUUGGCAUUCCAUUGGUCUGGAGAGCAGGGCACUUCAGAAGAAAAGUUUUUCACAUCCCAUUGCACUUUUCCCACUCACUUUUCAGGCCUGAUGUAAAGAGCUGCUAGAAGAAGCACUUUGCAGAGUGCAGCAACACGUUCUGAUGAUCUGUAAAGCUCAGGACCUGUGCUGCCUCAUCUGUAGUCCCUUCUCUGCAUCCAAUAAAGUAAGCUGCUGCUUAUGAAAGCUUAUGUAGCUCUUGAUUUAGUUAGUUCACCAGGUGCAAAUCUAGAAUAGCUUUCUUCCUGAUGUCAGACUCAUGCAGCCAACUACCUCUCUUUAAAGUUGUAUUAUCUCCUAACCACUGAUUUAUUUACAGAUACAGAGUACAUGGCAUGCGGAUGUCUGCUCAUCUGAGAAGCAUGUGUCAGUGCUAAAUAAUGUUCGGCAGACUUUGGGAUUUGAAGAUGCUUCAUACUUUCCACAACUGUUUAGAUCAUCUUACCUGAUGAAGCCCUGAUGAAAGCAAAGAUUUUGAAAGCUUCUGUGAACUUCCUGUAAUGUAGAUCAACUAGUUGAUUUGAGUCCACCAGGGCGCAUCUCAACCAGCAAAGAGAAACAGGCUAGUAAAUAAAUCAGGGCCAGCAUCUGGACACAGGAAUGACACCACAGGCCCCAGCAGGGAUGUGGGCUCUAGGUCACCACCACCCAGUGCUGGGACCCACUGCAUGUUCCAGCCUUGCCAGCAGUGGACUCAAGAUCAGACCCUCAUGCUCCAACAGCUGGUAGCAGUAGUGGAGGAGCAGGAGGCACGGGCGCAGGCCUAACGGGAAGAGGACAUUACCUAGGAGACUGCCUGGGGAAGACACAUGGGACUGGGCACAGCGGGAGCACUGGGUCAUGAUGAAAGCCCUGGAGUGGAAGUGGAUUGAGCUGCUCAGGCAGCAAGUGGCCAUCCAGGGCUGGGCAGUAGAGGCCAUGCACCAUGACUGCUUGACUCUGGACAUUGGGCCUGGUGGUUUUGUGUGUGCCCUGCACUGCCUGGUCCCUGUCUCUGGCCCUACAGGGCUGCUGGCAGCUGCCCGCCACCCCGCAGAAGGCCCCUGGCC